UCCUCCCUCUGGCGGCGUGCUUAACACAUGCAAGUCGAACGGAAAGGCCCUGCUUUUGUGGGGUGCUCGAGUGGCGAACGGGUGAGUAACACGUGAGUAACCUGCCCUUGACUUUGGGAUAACUUCAGGAAACUGGGGCUAAUACCGGAUAGGAGCUCCUGCUGCAUUGUGGGGGUUGGAAAGUUUUGGCGUUUGGGGAUGGACUCGCGGCUUAUCAGCUUGUUGGUGGGGUAGUGGCUUACCAAGGCUUUGACGGGUAGCCGGCCUGAGAGGGUGACCGGGCACAUUGGGACUGAGAUACGGCCCAGACUCCUACGGGAGGCAGCAGGGGGGAAUAUUGCACAAUGGGCGGGAGCGUGAUGCAGCAGCGCCGCGUGCGGGAUGACGGGCUUCGGGUUGAGAACCUCUGUCGCCUGAGACGAAGCGGGAGUGACGGUAAUGAGUAAAGAAGCACCGGCUAACUACGUG
rnacentral:rRNA from 1 species